CGAACGGGCGUAGCAAUACGUCAGUGGCAGACGGGUGAGUAACACGUGGGAACGUACCUUUGGUUCGGAACAACUGAGGGAAACUUCAGCUAAUACCGGAUAAGCCCUAACGGGGAAAGAUUUAUCGCCGAAAGAUCGGCCCGCGUCUGAUUAGCUAGUUGGUGGGGUAAUGGCCCACCAAGGCGACGAUCAGUAGCUGGUCUGAGAGGAUGAUCAGCCACAUUGGGACUGAGACACGGCCCAAACUCCUACGGGAGGCAGCAGCC
rnacentral:rRNA from 1 species